rnacentral:rRNA from 1 species
UACGAAGGGGGCUAGCGUUGCUCGGAAUCACUGGGCGUAAAGCGCACGUAGGCCGAUUGUUAAGUCAGGCGUGAAAUCCUAGAGCUCAACUCCAGAACUGCCCUUGAUACUGGCGGUCUCGAGUCCGGGAGAGGUGAGUGGAACUGCGAGUGUAGAGGUGAAAUUCGUAGAUAUUCGCAAGAACACCAGUGGCGAAGGCGGCUCACUGGCCCGGUACUGACGCUGAGGUGCGAAAGCGUGGGGAGCAAACAGG